GUGUCACAGACAAACCGUGUCCGUGGUCGAAAACAACCAGAAGGUGGGCUUAGAAGCAGCCAUCCUUGAAAGAGUUCGUAACAGAUCACUGGUCUAGCUUGCGGGCCGGGAAAAGGGACGGGGCUCAAAUUGAUUACCGAUACUUCAGACCAUCGUAAGAUGAUGUGGUAACGCGGCGUAGUGUAUGGAUGGAAGGUAGGCUUUGAGGUCUACUGGACCGUAUACUAAUGAGAGUCUUGGGAAGAGUAGCAGCAUAGUGUGGUGAGAAUCCGCACCGCCUUAUAAACUAGGGUUCCUCGGCACUGUUUAUCAGCCGAGGGUUAGCCGGUCCUAAGGUCAUUCUUAACCGAAAUGAUCGAAAGGGAAAUGCGUUAAUAUUCGUAUGCCUCCCAUACAAUAAUGGUGACGGCUUGGGCAAAGUCAAUGGAUCAUAUGCCAGGUCCAUCGAUAACUAAUUUCUGGAGAACUGUCACAGUGAGAAGGAAAGAAAGUCCCAGGUCCCAUGAAAAGCCGUAUGGAGAGACCGUACCGAGAACUGAAACAGGUGUUUUUGGGUGAGUAGCCUAAGGCGUAUCGGAUACAAAUAUCGCGAGGGAACUCGGCAAAAUAGCUCCGUAACUUCGGGAGAAGGAGUGCCAGAUUGGGAACAAUCUGGUCGCAGUGACCAGGGAGCUCCGACUGUUUAAUAAAAACAUAGGGGACUGCUAGAUCGAAAGGUUGUGUAUAGUCCCUGAAUCCUGCUCAGUGCUGGUAUCUUAAAUCGGGUUUCAACCUGACGAAGGACCAGUAAACAGCGGGGGUAACUAUGACCCUCUUAAGGUAGCGUAAUACCUUGUCGCUUAAUUGGCGACUUGCAUGAAUGGUCCAACGAGGGCUCCACUGUCCCCGCGAUAUGUCCGGCGAAAUUGACUUUACUGGCGCACAGUCCAGUACAUUCUACCCGCAAGCGAAGACCCCGUAGAGCUUUACUGCAGCCUGUCGUUGCAUUGUCGCUUUCCACGUACUGUGUAGGUGGGAGAUGUUGAUCCCUAGGACGCCAGUCCUGGGGGGAGUCGAAAGAAGAGACACCACCCUUGGAAGGUAACAAUGCUAACUCUUAAUGAGAACACCGAUUGGUGGGCAGUUUGGGUGGGGCGCCACGCGCUCGAAAACCUAACAAGCGUGCCCAAAGGUCAGCUUAGGUGGUUCAGCACUCCACCGUUAACUGUAAGGGGAAAAGCUGGCUUAACGUGGAUCCGCACAAUAAGGAUCGACGAUGCGAAAGCAGGGCCUAACGAACCUACCAGGCUUAUAUUUGAGGCCGGUAGAUAACAGAAAAGUUACCUCGGGGAUAAUUGAGUUGUCACCAGCAAGAGCUCACAUCGACCUGGUGGCUUGCUACUUCGAUGUCGUCUCUUCCUAUCCUGGGUCUGCAGCAGGACCCAAGGGUGGGGUUGUUCGCCCAUUAAAAGGGAUCGUGAGAUGGGUUUAGACCGUCGUGAGACAGGUUUGUUGCUUGGUGGUAGAAUCGCGUAAGGUGUCUGAUGGAAGGGGUCCUUUAGUACGAGAGGAACGAGGGCUCGGGGCCACUAGUUUACCAGUUGUCUGGCAAGGCAAUGCUGGGUAGCCACGCCCUGAAGGAUAAGAGCUGAAAGCAUCUAAGCUCGAAGCCACCCCAAAGACGAGACACCUCAGAACGCUCGUAAAAGACGAGAUGAUAGACCGCGGAUGUAAGUACGAAGCUUCGGCGACGUAUUCAGUCCAGCGGCACUAAUGUUCGAGCAUCUUUUUCC
rnacentral:rRNA from 1 species